CGGGUUGUUGUGUGUGGGUGACAGAGAGUAUAGAGAUGAGAGAGAAACAAAUUGGAUAAGCGAGGAAGGUGGAUUAGGGUUAGACAAGUGUUUUUGAUUUUUUCAAUUGGGGGUACAUUAGGGAUGACCGAGAAAAGGUUGGAGUGAGAGAGAUGAAAGAGAAAGGAUUGAGAAGAAUGAGAGAGGUGAGUAAGGGUGUUAAGCCUCUGACAAGUGUACCGAAUCGUAUCAAGUAAUAUAAAUGGUAAGACUGAGUAUCGUUUUCCCUAGAGACUCAUUGGCCUAGAAAGUCAUGUGAUUUGUUGAUUAUUUAAAACUUAAGGACAAAAACAUUUGGGUUUUUGUAAUGCAGAAAAUUAAAUAUGAAUGCAAGUGUUGAUCAAUUGACCAAAGAAUGUGCAAGUGAAUGGUUGAUAAAAUAUGGAAUGAUUAUGUUGUUGGGGUUUCCGACUUAUCCUAUCCACUCUCAUGUAUUUAUGAAUUUGACACCUUCAUUAAUGAUAAUGCCACUUUCUAAUUUACUUUAAACUCGAUGUCUCGGUGAAGAAAGCCUACUCUUAAUUACUAGUUCACAAUGUCUUGUAUCCCUAGCAACUAAUUAUGCAUUACAUUCGCACAGAAACUUAGAGGUAACCAACCCUCC
rnacentral:lncRNA from 1 species